rfam:Brachypodium distachyon strain Bd21 chromosome 3, whole genome shotgun sequence.
CAUGUACUCCCUCCGUCCCAUAUUAAGUGACUUUUUAUUACAUGUAUUUAGAUGCUUUUUAGCCAUAGAUACAUUCAUAUUUGAGCAAAUUUGAGUCACUUAAUAUGGGACGAGGGAGUAUUUA